rnacentral:rRNA from 1 species
UACGUAGGGGUGCAAGCGUUUGUCCGGAAUUAUUGGGCGUAAAGAGCCUCGUAGGCGGUUUGUCGCGUCUGCUGUGAAAACGCGAGGCUCAACCUCGCGCCUGCAGUGGGUACGGGCAGACUAGAGUGCGGUAGGGGGAGAUUGGAAUUCCUGGUGUAGCGGUGGAAUGCGCAGAUAUCAGGAGGAACACCGGUGGCGAAGGCGGAUCUCUGGGCCAUAACUGACGCUGAGGAGCGAAAGCAUGGGGAGCGAACAGG